UACGAAGGGGGCUAGCGUUGUUCGGAAUUACUGGGCGUAAAGCGCGCGCAGGUGGUCUUUCAAGUCAGUGGUGAAAGCCCGGAGCUCAACUCCGGAAAUGCCAUUGAAACUGUCAGACUUGAGGAUGAGAGAGGUGAGUGGAAUUCCCAGUGUAGAGGUGAAAUUCGUAGAUAUUCGGAAGAACACCAGUGGCGAAGGCGGCUCACUGGACCGGCAUUGACGCUGAGGUGCGAAAGCGUGGGGAGCAAACAGG
rnacentral:rRNA from 1 species